UACAGAGGUCCCAAGCGUUGUUCGGAUUCAUUGGGCGUAAAGGGUGCGUAGGCGGCGCGGUAAGUCGGGUGUGAAAUCUCGGAGCUUAACUCCGAAACUGCAUUCGAUACUGCCGUGCUUUGAGGGCUGGAGAGGAGACUGGAAUUUACGGUGUAGCGGUGAAAUGCGUAGAUAUCGUAAGGAAGACCAGUGGCGAAGGCGGGUCUCUGGACAGUUCCUGACGCUGAGGCACGAAGGCCAGGGGAGCAAACGGG
rnacentral:rRNA from 1 species